GUCAUUAGUUGCCAUCAUUCAGUUGGGCACUCUAAUGAGACUGCCGGUGACAAGCCGGAGGAAGGUGGGGAUGACGUCAAGUCCUCAUGGCCCUUAUGACCAGGGCUUCACACGUCAUACAAUGGUCGGUACAGAGGGUAGCCAAGCCGCGAGGCGGAGCCAAUCUCACAAAACCGAUCGUAGUCCGGAUUGCACUCUGCAACUCGAGUGCAUGAAGUCGGAAUCGCUAGUAAUCGCAGGUCAGCAUACUGCGGUGAAUACGUUCCCGGGUCUUGUACACACCGCCCGUCACACCAUGGGAGUGGGGGAUACCAGAAGUAGGUAGGGUAACCGCAAGGAGUCCGCUUACCACGGUAUGCUUCAUGACUGGGGUGA
rnacentral:rRNA from 1 species